AUGAUCUCAUGGCGAAGCCUUAGGGGAAAUGAUCAGGGAGGUUUGCUCUAUGCAGUGGCAUCAAGAUAUUGGAGAAACGAAAAAGCCAUCACUUACCUCACGGUGGUGAUAGAGACAGAGAUGUGUUCGAUGAAAGUUUCAAUGUUCAGGUUUUCUUUUGGUAUGAAACAUGGACCGAGGCUUGGACAUAACCAGGUUGGAAUGGGGCAAUCUUGGAAGAUAGUGGCUUGA